rnacentral:rRNA from 1 species
UAACAAGGUUUCCGUAGGUGAACCUGCGGAAGGAUCAUUAU